rnacentral:rRNA from 1 species
GAGGAAUAUUGGUCAAUGGGCGAGAGCCUGAACCAGCCAAGUCGCGUGAAGGAUGACUGUCUUAUGGAUUGUAAACUUCUUUUAUACGGGAAUAACAAGAGUCACGUGUGACUCCCUGCAUGUACCGUAUGAAUAAGCAUCGGCUAACUCCGUGCCAGCAGCCGCGGUAAUACGGAGGAUGCGAGCGUUAUCCGGAUUUAUUGGGUUUAAAGGGUGCGUAGGCGGUUUGUUAAGUCAGCGGUGAAAUCUAGAGGCUCAACCUCGAAACUGCCGUUGAAACUGGCGAACUUGAGUGUAGAUGAGGUAGGCGGAAUUCGUGGUGUAGCGGUGAAAUGCAUAGAUAUCACGAGGAACUCCGAUUGCGAAGGCAGCUUACUAAGGUACAACUGACGCUGAAGCACGAAAGCGUGGGUAUCAAACAGGAUUAGAUACCCUGGUAGUCCACGCAGUAAACGAUGAUAACUGGGCGUAUGCGAUAUACAGUAUGCUCCUAAGCGAAAGCGUUAAGUUAUCCACCUGGGGAGUACGCCGGCAACGGUG